UACGAAGGGGGCUAGCGUUGUUCGGAAUUACUGGGCGUAAAGCGCACGUAGGCGGAUUGUUAAGUGAGGGGUGAAAUCCCAGGGCUCAACCCUGGAACUGCCUUUCAUACUGGCAAUCUCGAGUCCGAGAGAGGUGAGUGGAAUUCCGAGUGUAGAGGUGAAAUUCGUAGAUAUUCGCAAGAACACCAGUGGCGAAGGCGGCUCACUGGCCCGGAACUGACGCUGAGGUGCGAAAGCGUGGGGAGCAAACAGG
rnacentral:rRNA from 1 species